rnacentral:rRNA from 1 species
GACGAACGCUGGCGGCGUGCCUAAUACAUGCAAGUUGAGCGCUGAAGGUUGGUACUUGUACCAACUGGAUGAGCAGCGAACGGGUGAGUAACGCGUGGGGAAUCUGCCUUUGAGCGGGGGACAACAUUUGGAAACGAAUGCUAAUACCGCAUAAAAACUUUAAACACAAGUUUUAAGUUUGAAAGAUGCAAUUGCCUCACUCAAAGAUGAUCCCGCGUUGUAUUAGCUAGUUGGUGAGGUAAAGGCUCACCAAGGCGAUGAUACAUAGCCGACCUGAGAGGGUGAUCGGCCACAUUGGGACUGAGACACGGCCCAAACGCCUACGGGAGGCAGCAGUAGGGAAUCUUCGGCAAUGGACGAAAGUCUGACCGAGCAACGCCGCGUGAGUGCAGAAGGUUUUCGGAUCGUAAAACUCUGCUGGUAGAGAAGAACGUUGGUGAGAGUGGAAAGCUCAUCAAGUGACGGUAACUACCCAGAAAGGGACGGCUAACUACGUG